CCUGAUGCAGCCAUGCCGCGUGUGUGAAGAAGGCCUUCGGGUUGUAAAGCACUUUCAGUUGUGAGGAAAAGUUAGUAGUUAAUACCUGCUAGCCGUGACGUUAACAACAGAAGAAGCACCGGCUAACUCCGUGCCAGCAGCCGCGGUAAUACGGAGGGUGCGAGCGUUAAUCGGAAUUACUGGGCGUAAAGCGCACGCAGGCGGUUUGUUAAGCUAGAUGUGAAAGCCCCGGGCUCAACCUGGGAUAGUCAUUUAGAACUGGCAGACUAGAGUCUUGGAGAGGGGAGUGGAAUUCCAGGUGUAGCGGUGAAAUGCGUAGAUAUCUGGAGGAACAUCAGUGGCGAAGGCGACUCCCUGGCCAAAGACUGACGCUCAUGUGCGAAAGUGUGGGUAGCGAACAGGAUUAGAUACCCUGGUAGUCCACACCGUAAACGCUGUCUACUAGCUGUUUGUGACUUUAAGUCGUGAGUAGCGAAGCUAACGCGCUAAGUAGACCGCCUGGGGAGUACGGCCGCAAGGUUAAAACUCAAAUGAAUUGACGGGGGCCCGCACAAGCGGUGGAGCAUGUGGUUUAAUUCGAUGCAACGCGAAGAACCUUACCUACACUUG
rnacentral:rRNA from 1 species